CCCAAGAAAAUGGCUGACUCGGAAGAGCGUGAUGAUGACAGCCAAGGUGGUGACAGCGAUGAUGAAAUAGCAGAGUUACGUAUUCAGGCACUACUGAGCAAGAGGGUUAAUGAAGCAGAGGUUUCUCCUGCACGAGAACCACCCCAGGAGAAGCAACGGAAUGUGAACAAACCCCUCCCUUCUGAGAGGCCUCGGCCAUUUAGACCUGCACAGGACUUUGAGAAGAAUCUUCAGGCUAGCAAUAUAACAACAAUUCCAGUUUUAGGAUCCCAGAACUACAAUAGAUGUUUCAAUCCCAUGUAUCAGGCGAUGGGACCUGACAGAAACUUUUAUCAGGGUAGGAACUUCUAUCCUCAAGUUCGUAUGCGAGGUGGCCGUGGUUUUGUUAGAGGACGAGGUAGAGGGGGGCGUGGGAGAGGUUAUAAUGACCGGCCUUCAAUGCCCUUCACCUCUACCAGGCCUCCAACUCCCCAACUUGUACUCCCACAAGACAGAUAUGUGGACAAAGCACCUCCUGAACCAAAUAAAACCAAAGAAAAAAUGAGUGCAAGGUGGCGUCGUAUGCAAGGAUCAGACAGUGAGAGUGAUAGUGAAGAUAGUGAGUCUGAUAGUAGUGACAGCAGCAGUGACACCACUGGCAGCAGCAGUGGCAGUAGCUCUGGUAGCUCUAGUGGCUCAGAUUCUGAAAGUGAAAAUAGCUCAGUAGAAAAGAGGAAAGUUGCCAAAGACCCCAAAAGGGAUGCCCCACUUACUGAUAAGAAACCAGUUCCACCAGUUAUCAGUGGUUCUCGGCAGAGACAGCAUUCUGGUAAAGGUUUAAUGCCAAAAUCCCCACCUGUGCAAAGUGCUGCCCCUCAUAAUCCUCCACCUACUCAUAAAGUUCCUCCUCCAACAAGGAGAGGAUCAGUCAGCCCGCCUCCAAAGAAGUAUGUCAACACUCAAGCAUCACCACGGCAACCAGUAAGGAGAGAAUCGACAAGUCCUCCUAGUAACAGAUCAUGGGUGUCUCCUGUCUCAAAGGGACGCAGCCCAAUUCGCCGACAAGGGUCCAGGAGCCCUCCACCCCGAACAGGCUUGAGGAGCCCGGGCCCUCAAGGUGGUUCAAGGGGUCUUUCUGCUCGCUCAAGAUCAAGAACUCCACCUCCCAGAAGAAGAUCCAGAAGCCCACGUCCUUGGCCAAAAUCAAGAAGUCCUCAGCGAACUUCUCAAAGUCCAAUGUUACGUUCUAGGAGUCCUUUUCCAAGAAGAAGUUCAAGGAGUCCAAUCCCCAGAAGAAGUUCUAGAAGUCCCUACCCAAGAAGGAGCUCCAGGAGUCCACUUGGUAGAAGAAGUAGUAGGAGUCCAUUGCCAAGAAGAAAUUCUAGGAGUCCACUAUUUAGACGUAGCUCAAGGAGUCCCCUUCCCAGAAGAAGUUCUAGAAGUCCUCCUCUGAGGAGAAACUCUAGAAGCCCAUUCCCGAGAAGAAGUUCUAGGAGUCCAGUCCCAAGAAGAAGUUCUAGAAGUCCAAGCUCAAGAUUGCCUUUGAGAGGCUCUUCCCCUCACAUAAUAUCAAGAAGUCCAAUUAGAGGAAGGUUAAAAAGUCCUCUUGCAGGAAGAGGCAAAAGUCCACAACAGAGACUGAGAAGUAAGAGUCCAGGUUUAAGAGGAAGGUCAAGAAGUCCAUUAACUCGAAGAAGCCCAUUGCUGAGACGAAGUUCAAGGAGUCCACUUCCUCAUAGAGGUUCAAGAAGUCCGGCACCUCGCAGAGUUACAAGGAGUCCGCUCCCUCAUAGGGGAACAAGAAGUCCUGCACUUCGUCGUGCCACACGGAGUCCACUAUCUCGCAGAGGCUCAAGAGGCUCACCACCACCACACAGGACUUCUAGAAGUCCACCUCCUAGGAGAAUAUCAAGAAGUCCUCUGUCUCGAAAACAUUCAAGAACUCCACCACUUCGGAAUAUAUCAAGAAGUCCUUUACCACGCAAACUUUCUAGAAGCCCUCCACCUCGGAAACAUUCCAGGAGUCCCCCGCCUCGGAAACUUACCAGGAGUCCCCCCCCUCGGAAACUUACUAGGAGUCCCCCCCCUCGGAAACUUAGCAGGAGUCCCCCACCUCGGAAACUUACCAGGAGUCCCCCACCUCGGAAACUUACUGGUACUCGGAGUCCUCCACCACGGAGAGUUUCAAGAAGCCCCCUCCCACGGAAACUUUCCAGAAGCCCUCCACCCCGACAUAUUUCAAAGAGUCCGCUUCGACAAAGACUCUCAAGAAGUCCACCCCCUCGCCGACUUUCACACAGUCCACUUCAUCGAAGACUUUCAAGAAGUCCUCCUCCAAGACACUUUUCUAGAAGUCCUCAACCAAGACGGCUAUCAAGAAGCCCUCUACCACGUCCAUUUUCAAGAAGCUCAGCCUCUCGUCGACCUAUAAGAAAUUCCCCUUUGAGACGGUUUUCAAGAAGUCCUCCACCACGAAGGUCUUCAAGAAGUCCACCACCACGCCGGAUUUCAAGGAGUCCCUCUGGACGCAUGCUCUCAAGGAGUCCAGGUCCUCGACGUAUUUCAAAAAGUCCUCUUCCUCCUGGAAGAUCAAGAAAAUUAUCACCUCAUCGUGUUGCUAGGAGCCCAUCGCCCAGAAGGAUUCGUAGGAUUUCUCCCUCCUCGCAUAGAUCUCAUAGUCCUGGUCAUAGACUACAGAGGUUUUCUAGAAGCCCUGCAAAUGAAAGGAAGUUAAGCUCACACAGUCCACCAUUUAACAGUUCACAUAGUCCAAGAUCUAGAAGAGGUCCAGCCUUAUCUAUUAGGUCCCAUAGUCCUCUGGCCGAUAGGUCUCCAAGUCCUGGACUGAGAAGAGAUUGGGGUCAUAGAGCAAAAAGAUCACAAAGUCCUGGUUCAUUUGGAAGAACUGGUAGUCCAUAUGGCAGGCAUUCCAGAAGCUUAUCUCCUCAUAAUAGGGUGGGAGGCAUGGUCCCAGGAAUGAUAGACAGGUCCCCAGUAGACAAUGGGUCUCCUAGAAGCUCAUUCCAUAGACAAGGAUUUGGGAGACCUGCUGAUGGCGUGGUUCAUGGUGAAAGAUUUUCUCCUCAAGGGAAUUCGGUAUUAGUAGGAGGAAGGCCUCAUGACUUCCCACCUGGGUAUGAUCACUAUCCUAUAAACAGACCACCCCAUAUGCCAAUGAAUGGUCACCAGGGUCAUCAACACUUCAUUGGAUUUAAUGAACCUGGCCCAAGAGCUCCUGAUGAACCUGCCUGGCCACAUGUAGGAAGGCGGGAAGGAAGGGAUCAGUUUUCACCUCAUCGAUUAUUGCCUGAGGGCCCAUGGCAAGGUCAUUACCAGCAAAGGGAUCGUCCAGGUCCUCCUGUUUUCCCACACCCGGACCAUGUUUUUCCACCAAACAGAGGGCAGCCUUUUAAUGUCCCUAUUCACAACCGCCAAGGUCCAGGGAUGUUGAUGCCUCAUGGCCGAGGACAGGGUUUCCAUGGACCUAGACAUGGAUCACCACAGGCACGCCGAGGGAGAUCACUUCCAAGACACGAGCCUCCUGGACGAUUUGAUCAUGAUUUACCACCUCCAGGACCUAAUGAAAGAAGGAGGCAAUUAUCACCGAACAGGCAAUUGGCUCGUAUUAGAGAGAGAUCACGCUCAAAUUCUCCUUUCUCAAGUAGACCACAAACAUUUCCACAGGGUGGAAGAGGAGGACCCAUGUCACCUCGAGGUCGAAUUCCCACUGUGCCAUCAAACAGGCGAGGUCCAAGAACUCCUCCUAUGCCUGCUGGCAGAAAAGUUUCACCACGACCAGGCCCCAGGGAUGCACAGAAGCCAUUGCGAGGGCCACAUGCUUCUUACCAGGAGAAUAAGGCACCAUUGCAAAGCCGAAGGCAAGGUUCUCCACACAUACCAACACAUGAAAGACCACCUUCACUUCGUGGUGGCCAUAAUCAAGCUUCUCAAAGACGCCCUCUACAUGGAAACAGUCCCCCUCCAGCAGGGCUCAGGGUUCAAGAUGGUGGUCCCCACAAACAACGGUUACAGCUACCAAAAACUCAUUCUCCUUUCCAGGGUGAUAGAAGACGAAAUGAAAAACAACCUGAGGAUGUUAGAGACAGAAAUAGGGAAGAUUCAAGUGGACAAGCUCAGCAUGAGAAAAAGGAUAAAAAAGUAGAAUCUCCUCGGAGAAUGGAGAAUAGACAGAAAUCUCCAUUCCGUAAUAGGUCUCCGAGUCGACAGCACAAUGCAAGAGUAGGUUUUGCUUCAGUUAGAGGACGAGGCAAUAGAGGGAGUAUACUUCAGAGUCCCUCUAGCCGAAAUCGAAGGCAAGUAGGAUCUAGACCUGAAACUUCAUCUAAUCAGCAACGGUUAAGAAGUCCAGGAAGUCGUGAGAAACAUGCUAAUGCUGCCAACUGGGACAAGAGGAACCCCAAAAGUGACUCUCAAGGGGAAAAACUGGAUUCAAAAUCUUUUAAUGAGCAGUUACCAGAAAGACAAGGUCGUACUGGAAGCCCAUGGUUGGAGCCAGUCACACCAGAAAAGCAAGGGCAAGGUGUAUGUGAUCGUUCUUUGUCUCCAGCAGGCAGUGUAAAUGAAAAUCAAGCUAAAAAGGUGAAGCGAGAAACAAAAACAACAGAGCAUGUUGCUGUAAGUAGAGGAAAAGAACAAGUAGAAAAGAAGGUUAAGGAAAAAGUAACUCCAGAAGCGGUGACACAACAAUCAGCUAAAGUGGAAAACAAAUCAGUUCAAGUACAAGACAAACUGGAAGCACGCAGAAAGAAGUUUGAAUCUAAUAAUCCAAUCUCCGCUCAAGAGUCUCGUAAAGUUUUGCUGAAAGCACCGGAACCAACAAAAGAAGUAGAGGAGGACAAGAAGAAGAAAGAUGAGAAGAUAAAGGAAGAUGAUGACAAGAAAAAGAAGAAAAAAAAGAAAAAAGCAAAAGAUGAUGACGAUGAUGACGAUGCAUCAGAAAAGAGCAAGUCUAGCAAGAAAAAGAAAAAGAAGAAGAAGAAGGAAGCCAAAAAGAAAAAGAAGAAGCACAAAAAGGCAGAUAGUGACAGUGAAGAGGAAGAAAAACAGCCAGCUGUAAGCAAAGUUACUAGAGAAAGCAAAAAGGACAACAUAGACUCAACAGAUUUGAGACAUAUGUUAAAGAGGAAAGUGGAUCCACCAAGAGGAGGGGGAGGAGAAAGGAGUGGAAGCAAAGUGGACAUCGACGAAAGAGAAGAGAAGCGUAGGAGGAAGGAUAAAGAAGAACCAUCGAAGACUGUAAUUGGUGGCAAGAGCAGACAAGCAGAGAGCAGAAGAAAGAAACAGCAUGAAGGGAAGCCUCUCCUGGUGACUGUUGGCUCUGGUGAAGAUCGGCAAGUCACUUCAGGCAAUGUUCCGGAAAACCAGAGUGAUGAAGGAAAGGCUUCCCAACGCUUGUCUGUUCACCUUCGCCUUGGGCCCGCCAAAAAUUCCUGGGAUGACAAGUCUGGUAACUCUCAUGGCAGUAGUGGGGGUGGUGGUGGUGGCAGUAGACACAAGAGACGUGAAAAAUCCAAGGGUCGACAUGGUGGAGGAGCUGGCAACAGGGUGAAGCUGAGGCGAUGAUCAUUUCAGUCUGCCUGGGAUGCAGGUAACGCACACAUCUCGUUGCUCCUGCUGCUGCACUGGCUCAACCUGAGUUUCUAGGUUGGCGCGUUUCUAAGAGGCUGCUCCACAUGACCUGGGUGGCUCUCACCCCCUUCUUCUGUACCUGGAACAUGUCCUUGCCUCAGUUCUAGAGUGUGCCAGAACCAGAGCAGAACCACAAGUGUUGUGUACAGUAUGUGUGAAUUAUACCCACUCAUAUCCAAACCAGAGCCACAAGUGUGUGUGAAUGUGUGUGUUUGUGCGUGUAUGAGAGCAAGCUCACUUGUGCAAGAUGUUUUUUUCGUUUCGUGUAUAUAGAUAUAAUAAUUUACAUGAUUUUCUGUUCAAAAAUAUUUGUAAUAUCUUAAAGGGAGUCAAGUGUAUAUUUGAGUUGAUAGGUGGAAUACAGAUAUAAUGAUACAGAAUGUGGUAUCCUAAAAUACCCAUAAUCUGAUAGAAAGGACAUGUUUAAUAGACUAGCAAUAUAUUUACAAGCAGUGUAAACAAAUUGUCUCUGAAGUUAGCACAUGAUAACUGACAAAAUCUAUGUCAUCAAUGCUUUGUGCUAUUCUUUAUGUAGAAAACUUAAUUAAUGCUAAUUAAAUUGUUCAUGUAGCUCAUGUGAAAUGAGUAUUAUUUUUAAAGAAACAGAGUAUCAUCAUUUGAAGGUGCAUUGUGGUAGUGAAUAGGAAAGGAUGUAAAUAGUGUAACUUUUGAAGAUGCUUUAGUUUUCGUUUUUUUAUAAUCAAUACUUCUGACUCACACAACUCAAAUAUAUUUAUGGAAUUACGGUAGCUUACAAUGAUGACCUUUUAUUUGUUGUAAGAUGUAUACAGUGUUUAACUAAUUAAAAAAAGUCUCCUAUCAAAGAGCAGCUGUGGCUUAUCAGUCCUGCUUUCUCUUUUUUCUAUAUAUAACAUCAACUAUUUACAUUUUUUCUUUUUCAUUGUCGGCAUUUGUAUGAAAGUCUGUGUAGUGUAGUGUGUGAAACAUCUUGUAUCAGUGCCAUGGAAGGAGUUAAGUACUGUAUUUAAAUGUUUUUCCUCGUGUUGAGAAUCAAGGCAUUAUUUCAUCCAUUCAUUCCAUCUUCACACCUAUUGUCAUGAUAAGCAGAGUUUGCAGCCAUCAAGCCACAUAUACCAUAUUAUUGUUGUUUUUUUGCCAUUUGACCUCAUUGUAUUAAUAUUCUAAAGAAAAUCAUUUCUCUUGAUUAUUAUUGUAGUCAAAACUUUUAUAUCCCAGUCACUCAGUACAGUAUUUUUAUGUUUAUUAUGAUAAAGGUGUUUCCAUAGAUAAAUAUUUGUAAUAUCAAGUAAAUUACUCAUCUUCAUUUAUUUUUGUGAAAUUAUUUCAAUACUGUAGUUAUUUCAUUUGAGAAACAUGGAGGAGGUGGUGGGUCAUAGAAUUAAUACUGUUAUAUAUCAGUUCAGUAUUUAGUGAUUGAUGAUGUAGAGCUUUAUGUCAGCUAUUUCACUCAGAAGAAUUGAGUUUUAAACAUAUACACUAGCCUGGUUAUCUAAUUAGUGGUACAGUUCUGCUAAUGCUUCUUAGGAUAAAUAAACACAUUUGGUCAUUACUCUGAUGAAUAUAGUUGAUAAUGAACUUCAUUUUUAACAUUUUUGUUAUUAUUUAUAUAUACUGUAUUAAGCAUUUCAAAAUAAAAAUUUUGCAUUAGCUGUUGAUCUGCAAGGCUAUGAAUUAUUUUUAUAUUGUUAUUACUGUCAUAAUAAUUUUUCAUCUUUGUAUUUCUUUCUUGGUAAUUUUUAUUUUAAUUUACUGCAUCUAUUACAAGAGCCUCCAACAUAUUGCUUUUUUCUUUUCUUUUUUUUUUUACCCAAAAAAGAACAAUCACAUAUGCCUUAUGCCGUGGAAUAUCACCUCCUCUAGUACCUCUUAAAUUUUUACAUGGUUUAGUUUUCAGAUCAACUGUAACGCUUCUUGCCAUUAGUUCACUUGUUAUUUAAAUUGAUAUUUUAGUUUAAUCCAUCUAUCACCUUCAGGUUCCAUAUUUUGAAAGCAUUGUACUUCCAUGAAUAAAUUGGUUAUUUUGA
rnacentral:misc_RNA from 1 species